rnacentral:rRNA from 1 species
UACGUAGGGGGCAAGCGUUGUCCGGAAUCAUUGGGCGUAAAGCGCGUGUAGGCGGCCCGGUAAGUCCGCUGUGAAAGUCAAGGGCUCAACCCUUGGAUGCCGGUGGAUACUGUCGGGCUAGAGUGCGGGAGAGGCGAGUGGAAUUCCUGGGUGUAGCGGUGAAAUGCGCAGAUAUCAGGAGGAACACCGAUUGCGAAGGCAGCUCGCUGGAACGUAACUGACGCUGAGACGCGAAAGCGUGGGGGAGCAAACAGG